GUUUUUCACAUUUGUUGUUUUGGUAUUUUGUAGUGUUCACGUUUAUUGUCUUUAUUAAACAUGUUGAACACUAACCACGCUGCAUUUUGGUCCUCUCCUUCAACGGAAGAAAACCGUUACAUCUGUGAAUUGAUAAUUUGAUGUUUUAGGAGAGUACAGAAGCAGAACACCGCCCAGUUUUCGAGGGGAACCUGUGAGCUCCCCUGUCCCUGCAGUGGUAAAUGAGCAUAGAGAAUCAGAGGGGCGAUACCUCCAAGUGUUCAGUGAAUCAGAAGACAGUUCAGACAGCUCGGAUGACCAUGGAGAAGGCAAGGAGGGCACAGAGCACAGAGCCCAGGUCUGCGUCUGCGUGGGAGACCUUCUGUACGGGGCUGGAGGAGUUCCUGGCCAGGGCACGGAGAGGAGGGCACAGAGAGAGGCUCCAGGAGACGAACAGCAGAUCUUGCCCACAGCCGUGGGAGCUGAGUCACUCAUUGUAGGGGCUGCAGCGUACAAAUGAAAGACAUUGUGAGAAGCAGUAUGAAAUGAAGGCAGCUGCAAUAUAUCAGAUACAAAGGGACAUACAGUACUGUGUUAAAAUGAAAAUGAUUACAGUCAAAAUGUAAUGGGGGAAAAUGAUCAAGUAUGAAGGUUUUUGGACAGGUUACACCUGGUUUUGUCAAAGAAACAUGAUUUCCUUGUGUGUCUUCAUCUAUAUUUCUCUCCCCAAAUGUGUUUUCUGUUAUUUCUCAUUUUUCAGUAUUAUGUCAACAUCGUAGCAAUUCCAAAGAACCUGUCUGUUUUUACAUGUAAAAAAAUGCAUUUA